rnacentral:rRNA from 1 species
ACCUGGUUAUCCUGCAGUAGCAUAUGCUUGUCUCAAGAUUAAGCCAUUGCAGGUCUAAGUACACGCGGCCGUACAGUGAAACUGCGAAUGGCUCAUUAAUCAGUUAUGGUUCCUUUGAUCGCUCAUCCGUUACUUGGAUAACUGUGGCAAUUCUAGAGCUAAUACAUGCAAACGAGCGCUGACCCUCCGGGUAUGCGUGCAUUUAAUCAGACCCAAAACCAUGCGGGGCGUCCUCUCGGGGGCGCCCCGGCCGCGUUGGUGACUCUAGAUAACCUCGAGCCGAUCGCUGGCCCUCGUGGCGCGACGUCUCAUUCGAAUGUCGCCCUAUCAACUUUCGAUGUACUUUAUGUGCCUAAUGGUGACCACGGUAACGGGAAUCAGGUUCGAUUCCGGAGAGGGAGCCUGAGAAACGGCUACCACAUCCAAGGAGGCAGCAGGCGCGCAAAUUACCACUCCCGACUCGGGGAGUAGUGACAAAAAAUAACAAUACAGGACUCUUCGAGGCCCUGUAAUUGGAAUGAGUACACUUUAAAUCCUUUAACGAGGAUCCAUUGAGGGCAAGUCUGGUGCCAGCAGCCGCGGUAAUUCCAGCUCCAAUAGCGUAUCUUAAAGUUGCUGCAGUUAAAAAGCUCGUAGUUGGAUCUCGGGAUCGAGCUGACGGUCCGCCGCGAGGCGAGCUACCGUCUGUCCAGCCCCUGCCUCUCGCGCCCCCUCGAUGCUCUUAGCUGAGUGUCCGCGGGGUCGAAGCGUUUACUUUGAAAAAAUUAGAGUGUUCAAAGCAGGCCCGGUCGCCUGAAUACCGCAGCUAGGAAUAAUGGAAUAGGACUCCGGUUCUAUUUUGUGGGUUUUCUCUCUGAACUGGGGCCAUUUAAGAGGGACGCCGGGGGCAUUCGUAUUGUGCCGCUAAGGUGAAAUUCUUGGACCGGCGCAAACGACGAAAGCGAAAGCAUUUGCCAAGAAUGUUUCAUUAAUCAAGAACGAAGUCGGAGGUUCGAAGACGAUCAGAUACCGUCGUAUCCGACCAUAAACGAUGCCAACUAGCGAUCCGGCGGCGUUUUAUUCCAUGACCCGCCGGGCAGCGUCCGGAAACCAAAGUCUUUGGGUUCCGGGGGAGUAUGGUUGCAAAGCUGAACUUAAGGAAUUGACGGAAGGCACCACCAGGAGUGGAGCUGCGGCUUAAUUUGACUCAACACGGGAACCUCACCG